rnacentral:rRNA from 1 species
AUGAACGCUGGCGGCGUGCUUAACACAUGCAAGUCGAACGAAGCAUUUAGGACAGAUUACUUCGGUUUGAAGUUCUUUAUGACUGAGUGGCGGACGGGUGAGUAACGCGUGGGUAACCUGCCUUGUACUGGGGGAUAGCAGCUGGAAACGGCUGGUAAUACCGCAUAAGCGCACAAUGUUGCAUGACAUGGUGUGAAAAACUCCGGUGGUAUAAGAUGGACCCGCGUCUGAUUAGCUAGUUGGUGAGAUAACAGCCCACCAAGGCGACGAUCAGUAGCCGACCUGAGAGGGUGACCGGCCACAUUGGGACUGAGACACGGCCCAGACUCCUACGGGGGGCAGCAGUGGGGAAUAUUGCACAAUGGAGGAAACUCUGAUGCAGCGACGCCGCGUGAGUGAAGAAGUAAUUCGUUAUGUAAAGCUCUAUCAGCAGGGAAGAUAGUGACGGUACCUGACUAAGAAGCGCCGGCUAAAUACGUG